rnacentral:rRNA from 1 species
UACGUAGGGGGCUAGCGUUGUCCGGAAUCAUUGGGCGUAAAGCGCGCGUAGGCGGCCAGAUAAGUCCGGUGUGAAAGUCACAGGCUCAACCUGUGAAUGCCGCUGGAAACUGUCUGGCUCGAGUCCGGGAGGGCGAGUGGAAUUCCUGGUGUAGCGGUGAAAUGCGCAGAUAUCAGGAAGAACACCCGUGGCGAAGGCGGCUCUCUGGUACGUGACUGACGCUGAGACGCGAAAGCGUGGGGAGCAAACAGG